UGAGCAUACGUUUGUCCUCAGAAAAUGUAUCAUGGAUUGAAUGAUCUCAGCGGAAAAUAAGCUACGUUAUCCAAAUAUAUGUGGCAAAAUGUUGGCUACUGUUAAAUCCAGUCUGACAACGACCUGUGGCCCGAGAAUCAGAUUGCUUCCAGUCAGUCCUGGCUUCCCUGUCGCUGAUGAGCAGGCUGCCUCCAGCUGCGCCACACCCCUCCGGCCCCGCCCACCCGGCUUCCGGAAUGUCUACGCUGGCACUUUCCAGGUUGCAGAAUAUGUUCUCGGAGGGGCAGAUUUGCAAAGUGCUCUGGCUCUGACCCAUGCUGUCUAAAUGCGGAACAGUUAUUUCUCCAUGUAUGGAAAUUUAAAUUCAACAACCCCACCCCAUCCCUCCUCCCUGAUCCAGAAAACAAAUACAAUUUUGCCCUAUACAGACAGUGCUUCUUUGAUUUUCCCAGUCUCGUGUAGAGCUUCUCCUGGAGGAGAUGUGUGCAGCAGGUGGAGUAAUUCAGACUCCCUGGCCUUGCUAGACCACAGCCUGAGAAGAACUGGCUAGGACCGCUCUGCUUUCCUGCCCACCCAGGCCUCUGACGGGAAGCUGGUGCGAGAGAUGCCGCCUUGUAUCUGAUUCUUCACUUCCCCACAUCCAGAAAAACAACUCAAGGUCUAAUUUUCUAACCCUUUGAUGGAAACUAGAGAAAGGGAGUUGGGAAAGGAAGUAAAGCAGUGAGAAGCUUCAAUUUAAAAAAAGAC
rnacentral:lncRNA from 1 species